UACGUAGGGGGCGAGCGUUGUCCGGAAUGACUGGGCGUAAAGGGCGCGUAGGUGGCUUUACAAGUCCGGAGUGAAAGUCCUGCUUUCAAGGUGGGAAUGGCUUUGGAAACUGUAGGGCUUGAGUGUGGGAGAGGAUAGCGGAAUUCCCGGUGUAGCGGUGAAAUGCGUAGAGAUCGGGAGGAACACCAGUGGCGAAGGCGGCUAUCUGGACCAAGACUGACACUGAAGCGCGAAAGCGUGGGUAGCAAACAGGAUUAGAAACCCGUGUAGUCC
rnacentral:rRNA from 1 species